rnacentral:rRNA from 1 species
UACGGGGGGGGCAAGCGUUGUUCGGAAUUACUGGGCGUAAAGGGCUCGUAGGCGGCCAACUAAGUCGGAUGUGAAAUCCCCAGGCUUAACCUGGGAACUGCGUCUGAUACUGGAUGGCUUGAGAUCGGGAGAGGGAUGCGGAAUUCCAGGUGUAGCGGUGAAAUGCGUAGAUAUCUGGAGGAACACCGGUGGCGAAGGCGGCAUCCUGGACCGACACUGACGCUGAGGAGCGAAAGCCAGGGGAGCAAACGGG